CCCUUAGAUGUUCUGAACCGCACGCGUGUUACACUGAUGCAUUCAACGAGCUUUACCUUGACCGAGAGGCCUGGGAAAUCUUUUUAGCAUGCAUCGUGAUAGGGAUUGAUUAUUGCAAUUAUUAAUCAUGAACGAGGAAUUCCUAGUAAACGCAUUUCAUCAAAAUGCAUUGAUUACGUCCCUGCCCUUUGUACACACCGCCCGUCGCACCUACCGAUUGAGUGGUCCGGUGAAGUCUCGAGAUUGUGGCAAUCCCCUUUAUUGGAGUUUGACUGCGAGAACUUGCCUAAACCUUAUCACUUAGAGGAAGGUGAAGUCGUAACA
rnacentral:rRNA from 1 species